ensembl:lncRNA
GUAAAAACAAUGAUUGUUAUUAAUAAAAAAGUUUUAUUAUUAUUAUUAUUUCAAAAUACUCAUGUGUAUGUUAUUGUUCAACCAUUGCUUUGGUAUUAUAUCUAUAUGAAUAUCUGUCAUUCCGGUAAAACGCAGUAAAAGUGUAAAACUGAAAGAUAGGGAGGGGGGAGCAUGAGUAAAACACGGUGACUGUACCACGGUGCCUGCCUACAUGCCCCCGUGUGUGUCACAGUGUGUGAGUGUGUGAGUAAUGGCGAGGGGCGGAGCUCAGCGAGGAUUGUGACGUCAGCGGCUCUCGGGGGCAGAUCGGCAGGCUGCCGGAGCAGGGCGACACACCGCGUGCCGCACGUCGCUUGUCGCUCGUCCGUAGUCGCUCUCGGCUGUUGGGGAUCUGGCGCGCGCGCGUGCGUGUCCGCUCCGCUCCGCUCUCGGUCUCGGCGUCGGUGGGUCAUGGAGGUUCGGGUGGCGGGCGCGGACACAGUGUGACACCCACGCCCCCCCCCCGCGAUCGGUGCCGGACACGCAGAGCCGUCGCGUGUGCUCAAGCGGAUGGCGGAGCUGCGGAGUCGGAGCUCCUCGUUGCCCUCUCCUGUCGGGCGAACGAGCAGAGAAUCCCAAAAGGUAAAGGUGACGAUCUGCGAGCGAACGCGCGGCGUUUGGUGACCCAGUUUGAAACGUUGCUCCGGGCACGUGGAGCGCGGGGCACGCACGGCUCGCCGGGCCUCGGAUUGCGACAGCGCUCCGGCAGCUCGGGCCCCCGUGAGCCGCGCUGACCCGCGAUUUCACCGUCCAAAGAACACACUCGGCAUUAGCGGGAUCAAGGGUCUCCCGAAGUGGCGCUAACCAGCUGUGUGUUUGCUUUGGGAGCGUUAGGACGGACCCCAGCGGACCGGCUCCCUGCGCCUGCGCUCCUCCCUCCCUUACGCACGCGGCUAGAUACUUUAGUAUAGAUCCCAGAGGAAAUUGCACAACAAAUAUUGUUCCAUUUAAAGAGGUGGGUAAUUUGGACUGUAUCUCACACACACACACACACACACACACACACACACACUGUCUGAACCGCUUGCCCCAUUCAGGGUCAUGGGGAGCCAGAGUCUAACCCAGCAACACAGGGUGUAACGCUGAGGGGACACACCCAGGGCGGGACGCCAGUCCAUUGCAAGGCACCCCAAGCGGGACUCAAACCCCAGACCCACCGGAGAGCAGGACCCGGUCCAACCCACUGCACCACCGCGCCCCUUCUUGUACUGUAUCACUUGUGGGUAAAUACCUCGAUCAAGGGUGCUGCAGCAGGAGGUGGGAUUCGAACCCGGAGCCGUAGAGUGGACGGGGGCAGCUCCGAGCACCGCGUUCCAGGUUAGGCACAUUGAAAGAGAUAAAUGCCGUUACUUGAGCUGCUGGAAUGAGAUCGAUGAAGACCUUUGACCGGAGUGUCUUCAGUGUGACGUUUUGCUGCGCUGUUACAAAACGACGCGAGUUUGAUUGAAGGUUGCGAAAGUAUGAGGUGCACGUCCGAGCAGAGAGCCAGAGCGGGCGCCGCACAGUACGCAUGCACGCAUGGCUCACGUCGCAGGGUGAAUCCGUUCGGUGACGCCACCUGGUCAGGUAAAUUCUCGAUCCGAGUGGACCAAAUUACCGCGAUUUCUUGUGAGGGGAAUACAGUCAAUUCGUGGGCAAAAAGUCUAGUUUCUAACUUUUAAUGCAACGUUUUUUUUUUUUUCUUCUCCGUUCAUCUUUCUGUGGCGCUGCAGCAUUUCCCGAUGCAUUUUGCUU